GUAUUUUUAGUAGAGACGGGGUUUCACCGUUUUAGCCGGGAUGGUCUCGAUCUCCUGACCUCGUGAUCCGCCCGCCUCGGCCUCCCAAAGUGCUGGGAUUACAGGCGUGAGCCACCGCGCCCGGCCAGGGUUUCUUAAUACAAGUUGGUGACUAACAUGUUGCCUAGAUUCCAGAUUAAAGUCUAGUUGUUGGAGACACAUGUGCAAUAGAGAACUAAAAUUUAAAUUCAAGUUCGUGAGUGAAUUGAAUAGAUGUUGGAGCAUCUCUAGUUUAUCAAGGACACUUUUUUUCCCCCUCGAAAUUUCAUUUUGACGAUGUGUGGAAAAAUUUUUGAAAAAAUUUGAAGUUGAGGGUCUUAGCAAUGAAAUGGGCAGAACUCCUAAGAUUGCUCCGUUUGUAUCUAGUUGAACUAUUCAUGAUAGUAAAGGGAAAGGAUGGCUGUUUUCGCUCUUAGUAGGGUUUGACGUAGUGAAAAGUUACGCUUUCUGAGCCUGUUUGCGAAUGUCUGAAAAAAUACUGGAUACAUUCUGUGGAUUAAAUGGUAGUCCACAUUUAAUCCACAGAUUGGCUAUUGUGAAUAAUGCUAUGAACUUCGGUGUAUAAAUAUCUGUUCGAGUCCUG
rnacentral:lncRNA from 10 species